rnacentral:snoRNA from 1 species
ACAUUAUUGCCAUAAGGCAAAUAAAUUACACUUUUUUUGCUGUGGACAUAACCCCCCCAAACAAUUUUCAUUAGGUUUUCUAUCUGCUGCUUUGCGAGCACUCAGUCUACUGGGGACAUUU